UACGGAGGUGGCAAGCGUUGCUCGGAAUCACUGGGCGUAAAGGGCGCGUAGGCGGGGAGGUAAGUCGGGCGUGAAAUCCCUCGGCCCAACCGAGGAACUGCGCCCGAGACUGCUUCUCUUGAGUUCCGGAGAGGAAGAUGGAAUUCCCGGUGUAGCGGUGAAAUGUGUAGAGAUCGGGAGGAACACCGGUGGCGAAGGCGGUUCUCUGGGCCUGUACUGACGCUGAGGAGCGAAAGCGUGGGGAGCGAACAGG
rnacentral:rRNA from 1 species